AGCCUGUAAUUGGAAUCAGAGAGAAGUUCUGUAGCUUGACAGCCAAAUUAGCCCCAGUCCUGCAAAUACUUUUACAGAAUAUUAUCUUUACAAUGAGGAACGGAUCCAUUAUGAUUCUGCUCAUUUUAGUAGAUUCAAGCAUGUGUCUAGUGAUUGAAUGGGGAGCAGAGAGGCAGGAUGAAAGGAAAUCCUACACUGGUUAUAUUUCCUCCAUUGUGUAAUUUACAAAUUGGAUUACAGGGAGCUUUCAUGUGCCAUAUGGUCUAAUUAAGAUACUGGUACUGAAUGGACUCAACCAUCACCCCAGGCUACGUUGAGCAGAACUUUGUGAAUAUCUCGUAUUUAGAAAUUCUCAAUAAGUUUUUAGUCCAUACCUUUUAACCACUUCUUAAAAGCAAAUAAAUUUGAAAAAUAAGCUCAAGAAACAGAAAUACUGUUAAUGUUAUGGUGGUACUACCUUCAAACUUUAUCAGAGAACGACUAAAGUAUAUACCCAGGAUGUGCAGACCUGGGUUCAUACUCUAGUUACAAGACUUGGAAUAGAAGCUUGACACAAGUCUUCCGUCUUCAAGGACAGUGUUGUAACUGCUAACAUAUCACAUGUUUAAAGCACAACUUUACAGCAUAGAAGGUGUCACACAUUCACUGUAUCAGUAAAUAUUUAUAUGGCCAAGAAAGAAGGAAUACUCUUCAGUGCUGUGGCUUAGACACAGAUGAAGGAUAUGUGAAAAUGGAGACGAAUAUCUUCAUUCUUUUGAAGACCCAGCUACUUCCUUCAUCUACCCCAUUUAGUUUUAUGUAUGUUAUUUCAAUAUAUCUGCAUAUUUCAAUAUAUCUGCAUAUGUAAAUGCUAGCGGGAACUGUUUUGGUUUAUAAAUACUAAAAUAAUCUAUUUCAACAGUCUAAAAUGAUCUUACUUAUAGUUUUAAGCCAUGUAUUAAUUUUAUUGUUUGCUGUUUGUAAGGAAUUGCUUACUUGGCCCUGAAGGACAUAAUUGAUUUAUGAUGGUGAUAUUAAUACCCAUAAAUUAUCUAAGUUCUCCGUGACCACAAGAAAUAAGAAAAAUCAAAUACAUCAGGGGAGUCAAAGCCCAGCUGGAGCUAAGAGUAUCGUGACAUGUUAAGAGUGACAGGAAUAGUAGUGGCAAGAGGAGGUUCAGGAGGAGCAGGCAUCCUUUAAUGUAUGGGGGAUACAGCCCUACUCAACUACUCGACUAUUCAAUUCCUUUUUUGCUUCAGUUUUCACAACCGAAGUCUCCACCCAGAAUUCUGUCCAGUUGGGAAGAAGUAAGAAGUAACAUGUUAAGAGAAAGUGGAUGCAUUUAAAUCCAAAGGACCAUAUGGGAUUCACCUGAAGGUGCUGGAGGAGCUGAUGGACGUGUGAGACUGCUGUUUAUCAUUUGUGAGAAACUGACAAGUGGGGAUGCUCCUGACUACUAGGAAAAGACUGACAUUAUAUCACAGAAUCACAGAAUCACAUCUGUAAUUUGAAGAGGCAAGUAGGAUACUCACGGAACUACAGCGCUGUCAGCUUCAGCUCUGUUCCAUGGAACAUGACCACUUGGCUCUCCCAAGCACAGGAAGGGGAGGACAGGUAUCAGGAACAGUCAGCGCAUUCAAAAGGGGAAAUCACAUGUAAUCAAACUGCUUGACUUCUACAGAGAAAUGACUGCCUCUGUGGGAUAAUGGAGAGUGUCAGUUGUAAUAUAACUUGAUCUCAUUAUGGUUUUUGACACUACCUCCCUCAGCCCUCCCUUCUGCAAGCAGAGGAAAAUGUGCCAAUUGACGAAUGAGACAGAAAACCGUAGUGAUGAAUAACUGGAUGAUUUGGAAGCGUGGACUGAACUAUCAGACUCAGAGCAGCAGUUCAAUCCUUGGCUGGUGAGUAUACUUCACCAGUAAGCAGAGUAUUGCAGGAGGUCAGCAUGGGGGUCUGUGUUCAACAUUUCCAUCAGUUAAAAUUCUCAAGAAAUUGCAGCUGACACCAAAGUGGGGUAAGUGUCUGACAGAAGUGUGCAGGAGGUCCAGAAGGACCUCAAGAAAGUUGUGGAUUGGGAUGGCAGAAACCUCAGUGCAAAUACCCACACUUUGGGCAGAAGAAUCCCAUGUACCAGAACAGGAAGCAUCUGGCUGCGUAGCAGUCCUGUUGCCCGUGCUCAAGCCUUCUGGAAAUGUGGGGCAUUUGGGUUCUGUUGUUGUUAUUGCUUUGUUUUUAUGAGAGCAAAAUUGUUUCUCCUGCAAAUUCUGCUCUUUGGAGCAAUAACCUUAAAAGUUUGGGAAAAGUUUUAUUCAUUGCUGUGGGCAUACGGAUGCAGUUAGCGCCAGGAAUACUUACUAUAAUCCAUGCUUGUAUAAAAUGGGAACUAGCGUGAAGAAUCAGGAAAAUGAUUUUAUCUUUGUUCAUAGUACUGAUACUGGAGAUCUGUGUACUGUUCUGAAACCCCCAUGGAGAUAGAGAGGAAAGUGAAAAACAAGUUAUAAUGGCUAUAAUGCUUUACAGUGAUAAGGGGCACGACCUAUUUAUACACACAAAAUAAGCAUGUGAUACUUAAAGUAUCAUGCCUGAUACUUCUAUCAUGGGCAAACCAAUAGAGAAAAACAUAACAAGAACCAAUGGUCAGAAAAUUUGGGCUACAUUAUUACAAUGAAGAAAAAGCAUGUCUUUAACCGAGUCAAUAAUUGCACCCAGAUACAAAUUAUGGCCAAAUAAUGACACCAAGAAAAGCAUGGUUCUCCAUCCUCAAACUGGAACUGCCCAGGCUGCUUUCCAGAGACAAACACAAGUUAUUAGCUGCAGCAUAUGAGCUCCUCUACGACACUCCUUGAAUGACAUUAUGCAGGAAAUCAUGUUGACAGUGUAACAACUUCACAAGGUCUUAUUGGCCAAAUUCUGCUGUUGAUGUGGACAUCCUUGCAGAUUUCAAUAACAUUAUUAACAUUUAUUAAAGUGAGAGAUAAACUGCAAAUUAUUUUUUUUUCUCAUCUUUACCCUUACGUAUGGUCUCCAUAUGUUGCAACAGAGAAGACAAAGCCAUUAUUUCACUUCCUUUUUGAAGAAAGUGUUUUACUCAAGAGUGUCAAUGAAUCACGGUUUGUUAGGGUGGUCCCUUCAAGUCUGCUUGGAAACGCUCAUGUGAUGACUGUGGUUCCAAUUCGCCCAUUAGGGGUUGGAUAAAAAUAAGCUCUCCGGCUGUCAAGACUUAUAAACUCACAUGGGAAAAUGAUUAUUUUUUAUCAGAAAAUGAGAUCAAUGAGUUACUUUAAGCUGAGAAUAAAAUUAACGUGUUUAUUGACUAACCUAUUUCGAACUGAUAUCUUUCAUAAGCCUUUCAGUAAGGCUUCCCCAAGUCUGACUGUUAAGGAAACAAAUGCACUUUGUCAUCUGGUUUUAUUUUGAGGAAAUUGUGGCUCAGUUCUAAGAAAUUUAUUAUAAAUGUCUUAGAGGAAAUUCAGAGGGAAGGUAACAUUAAAUCACAUUCCAAACAGCAAUUCCAAGACGACGUCUUUAUUAAAAUUCUGAAUAUUAUUAAUGCGUUGGAUUUAUUAAGACAAACGUGACAUGUUACAUUUGAGGUUAGCAAUCUGUGGCUGGAGCUGUAGAUUUAUUUUUAAAGUAGAUGACAUAAUAUCUGCAAUGCAAAGCGAGCUCUCAUUCUGUUCGCAGCGCAUUCAUCCACAGCAGCCCUGACUGCACAGAGAAUUACACCGGUGCAAAAAUAAUGUGCCCUACAGUUACCUCUGGUUUCUGAUUUAUUAAUUCAGGCAAUGCAAUGCUGCUUUAAAAUAUAAAUCUAAAAUUCAUGCAGCUUAUUCCACGGUAUGCAGCAAGUGUAUCUUAAUAAAAGCACAGUGUUAAUGAUUUACUUAAUUUAAAUCAUAACUGCAAAUUGCUGUUUGGAACACAACUUUAUUUGACUUUUCCUCAAUUUUGCCUUCAUACUGACUUAAGAACGUGUCCUAAUUCCCCACCACCAACACCCACAUGACAAAAUAUAUUCGAUCCAUUCAUUACUCAUCAAUGCCUGGAGCUUAUCAAACAACACGAGCCAGAUCAGUUUGGACAGGGUUUCUGCCUCCUACUUCUGCCCAGGGGAUGUUCCCAGUGCAGUCACUUUCUCCAGGCUGAUGCUGGUUUUAUGAGGGCAGAAUGAGUCUCACUUCACACAGUGGUAUCGCUCCAUUGUGUACGUAAAUUAAUUUCAACUUCUUUUGAGUUGUUGAUAGUCACCAGUUUUCCAAGGGAAACACAGAUUCCUGGAUACUACAUUUGAAUUAUAGUGCUUGGUUUUUAUCAUCCCAUUCUGAAGCCCUUUUGGGAGCCCUCAGCAAAUCCCCAGAGGUCUGUGGGACACGGCGUGAAAGCCACCGCCCUGAAGGCUGCUCUUGGAGGAAGUGACUGCCAGCCUGUGCUGGGGCUGAGAUAUAUCUCGGCACAAGGCAGAAGAGCAGGACCACCGAUCCACCACCAGCACAGCACGACUGAAGAACUCAUAACUACACAUUUACAGAGGAGGAAGGAAUCUGACUCCAGACAGUUCCUUAUUUCCAGUCUCUGAGCAGAACACACCGUUUCAGAGCCUAUUUCCAGAACAGCGUGCUUCCUCCUCAGCAGAGGCAUUGACUCACACUAAGGAAUGUAUUCCAUUACCGCCUUGCUGGCUCGCUGCAGCUGCAUGUAGAACCAGUUAGUUGCUCUGGAGACAGUGGCCAACAAACAGAAAAAAUCACCAACUCCUUCAGGACUGGUCAGAGCAGUUUAACGACUGCAUGCACACUUAAAAUUUUAAAACUUUCCUGUUCUGUUGUCUUCUAAGAGGGGCCUCAACUGUUCCCUAAUAACAAAUUGAGCUGUGGUUAAUAUUGGUGAAAUUCCACUGACUGGCUGCUGGAGAAGAGAGGGGCAGAGCCUAAGCUUGUUGGUGUGGGUAAUGCUCAUCCAGCAUUGACAUCAGUAUAAUCCUGAAAUCGACUAUAACAUCCAAUGGGAGUAUUUGGAAAAUAAGGACUGUCACUCCAAGUAGGAAAAAAACCAAACCACAACAGUUUGACCGGCGCUAUGGAAUUCCUGCAGUAAUUCGAAAAGGAGGUUAUUUAUGUUACGGUGCCUCCAAAAAAAAAAAAAAAAAAAGGAUUUGAGACUUAGGAAUGAAAGCCAGAGAAGUCGGAAGAUUGCCAUGAGAAGAAGUCAGGAGAAAUGAGGAAAAGAAGAUAAAAGCCACCUCAGAGGAAAGGGGUCUGACAGAGCGAGGAAGUCCAGCAGAAUGUGAGAUGGAAAAGGGAUAUGCAGAAGAUGUAACAGAUUUUGACAAGCUUCCGUACUUACUAAGAU